rnacentral:lncRNA from 10 species
CACAGAUCUUCCGUGGAGCUACAUGGGAAAAUAAGAAGCCCUAAUGUCAGCUCUCUGACUUUAUCUCUAAAUAAAGAAGUAAUUUUGAAGGUGUGGCUUGUAGGUACAUUGUUCUAUAUUUUUAAAACAAAUUCUAGGCUCUACAUUUUUUUUUAUUUUUUUGAGACUGAGUCUUGCUCUGUCACCCAGGCUGGAAUGCAGUGGCACAAUCUCAGCUCACUGCAACCUCCGCCUCCCAGGUUCAAGCAAUUCUCCUGCCUCACCCUCCUGAGUAGCUGGGAUUACAGGUGUGUGCCACCACACCUGGCUAAUUUUUGUAUUUUUAGUAGAGAUGGGGUGUCACCAUGUUGGCCAGGCUGGCCUCAAACUCCUGACCUCAGGUGAUCUGCCUGCCUCGGCCUCCCAAAGUGCUGGGAUUACAGGUGUGAGCCACCGCGCCCGGCCCAACUGUAUUAUUAACUAGAAUGGGGACUUAAAAAUGUGAUCAGGUGUAAGAUGCUUGUCCAUGCCCCUGACUCCAACACUGUUAGACUGGGCCCCUUACCCCUUAUCAUGUCCCCCCAAUACCACAAUACACCACAUACAUGCUGGCACAGCAUUCCUUUUCUUUAGAGAGAUUACUUUUCAGGUGGAAAACUUGUUAGCUUAGAUUCUACAAUUAAAUAUUAUCCUGGAUCUCUGUCAGAGAUUAAAUACAUAUGAAUUCGUGUGAGGAUAGCUCCCUUUCAUAAUGUCCAUUUUACUGCUGCAUGCCACAAUAUGAUGAAAAGGUCCAAUUGUUUCUGGAUAUAAACAUAAACUUGCAGAGAUCUGUUAGAUCCUUUAGAAGAUAAAGCAACUCUUGGCAUUAUUAUGAAUUAUUUGUCUAGGAAAGUCAGUGCCAAAACAAAGGAAAUCUCAAAACUCAAACCCAAACCAGACAGUAGUCCAUUCUCUUGCAUUUAUACCCUAUCAACAUUGGAUCUUACUCACUUCAGGAGUGAAAAAAACAAAAACUAAAACAAAAACCUCUUUGACGGCAGGUCAAGAUAGCGUGCGGCUAUCAACCCAACCUACAUACACGUGCACACAUGCCUGCACGCACACACGCAAACACAACACACAACAUAAACACACACACACACACACACACACACACACAGGUUUCUCCCUUUCCCCAGAAAGCAUUUAUAGUAAAUAUCCAUCCAGACAAAAGCCUCCGUUUUCCUACUGCUUUUGUGUGCUGUGGCAGGAAGCAGUUGUCGGCUGCAUUCGUGAAAAAUAACAACUGUAGACACUGAGACACAUGCCACAAUGUUCCCGUGGAAAUCAAACUCUGAGAAAUUUUUUAAAUGUUUUCAACACAUCAGCAUGAAGCAUCGACCUAGUUGGAAUCACUUAGAUCUAAAGCAAAUGCACUGAUUGUUUUCACAGCAGGCUUUUCUUCUUGGAGCUGAAACAGGCGCACUGGCGAGGGUUGUGAGGAAAGGUUUGCAGCCCCCUGCCUUGGUCUGCUAUAGCCAGUGACACGAUCAAUACCAGGGUGAGCAGCAGAGGAAGCUCAGGGAAGAUUAUGAAGAUGAGAAUUCAUUACCUAUCAAAGAAAAUGCGUAAACUCUAGAAGUAUUGCUUGCUCCUUUGCCACAAAGUGUACAUUCAAGAGUAAAUUGUUUAAAGCCAAAGGGCCUUGCGCCACGUCCUUAGCCUCAGCUUUCUACUUGCUAAAAUGGAAAUAACAACAGUACCUACCUUACAGACCUGGCGUGAGGAUUAAAUUAUACCAGCAAAGUGCCUGGCACCUAGAAUUUGCCUGAGUUCUGAUCAAUGCUAAAAACACCAUUUAACAGUGCCCUUUCCUGCCUGGGAAGCCCACAAAGAUUUCGCUUUUCACUUAUUACUCAUCAAACUGACUCUGGUUCACAGUGGAAAAGAGAAGAAAAGCUGAUGGAGAAAUGGCAGUGAAGAAGGAGAACAAAAUGUCAGAGCAAUACUUUUGAGCGACUAUAUCCUUUUCAUUAAAGGUGUCAACACGUUUAUUUGCAUCUUUGACCCUAGGACUAGGGAAGUGCUGGAAAUUAUGUGGGUACUUUUUCCCAUGGGAAAAAUGUACCUCCUGGGUCGGGGGAAGGCUGAAAAUAGGUGAAAGUGAGAAUACUCAGUUGAUCUUCAAUUUUUUUUGUCUUAUAAUUAAAAAAGUGCUGUUGAAAGGAAUAGGGUUGCAUUUCACCUAGAAUCAGUGCCAAGUAUCAACAGCUAAUGUCUGUCUUUUGAAGAAAGAAUCUUUCAUACCAUGGGGGUUUUAAAGCUACUGAUAAAACAAAAAGCUAUUUUCUGAAGACCAGCCAACCUGAAAAACAAGUGUUUUAAAACCUAGAGAAUUUCCUUUAAUGUAAAUAAUCAAAGAUGUUUUCAAUUAUUUUGCUAUUACUUACAUACAAUGGUUUUACGUUUAUGAGAAGUGCUAUCCCUGAAAUAACAAUAAUAUGAUCAUUUAUAAGUGGGGUGUGGAAAAAUAACACAAGCAUACAGAAAACCAGGAAGGAAUUUUUCCAGUAAAAAUUAAGCAAUAUUCACCACAAUUGGCUCACAUUGUGGAACUGGGAAGAACAAGAAAAUAAUAAAAAGAAAAAUAAAUCUUUACUGAAAUGUAGUGAUAGUGUUUCACUCGCAACCGCUUCUUCAAAUUGAGAUGCAGAAGAAAUGUGUAAAAAGCAAAACUGGUACAAAUCUUGAUUACAAUUUUGGAUCAGUUUAAGACAAUAUGGCUCAACAGAGCAAUUUACAUAGGCUAACAGAGCAAACUUGAGUUGGUAAUUUACUUUAUUGGAUACACAUUUCACCUACAAAAAAAAAAAAAGAAAGGAGGGAGGCAGGAACAAAAGCAGAAAGGAAGAAAGGGAUGUAGGGAGGGAGGGAAGGGAAAAAGAACAUAAAUCCAGGUUUGAGAUUAUAUAUAGAGCAGCUAUUAUCUCCCAAGUAAAGAUUUGGCCAUAAAUUACAAAUUAAUUUAGAAGUUGUGUAAUUUGGAUUUUCUUUUAGCGUUCAAAUUAAAGUCAAUAUUUAUCUUUUUGCACAUUGUUUCUUCAAGUCUGAUCCUUUCAUGUUUGCACUUUAUGUCCCAACUUUAUUUUCUACUCAAUCAAGCAUUAGAAAAGAGUAACAGCUUGUACAAUAUCACAAUGCAAUUGAAAAGUGAAGUUUUUCAGUAUUUGCAGACAUGUUAAUUAUAUUCCAAUUUUUGUAAGCAAUAAAGAGAAAAAUACUUGAAACUGGUAAUAUGCAGUUUACAUAGCAAAGAAAAGGUCAGUGAAGAAACAUCCUUCACUGACCUCUGAAACAAAUAUUAUAGAUUUUACACGCAGGAAACUUAUUACAUGCAAACUUUCUUUUGUAAGCAUUUGUAUUCUAAAAGUUGCAGCCACCUCUCUGCAUAUGUUAGAGGUAAGAAUAAAAAAGUUUUAAGUUCUUAAGCAUUGAAAAUGAUAAUUGAAUGGUACAGAGAGUUUCAUUAAUUGACCUUAGAGAUAGAAAAGAAAAUUUAGUUUCAAGACCCAAGUUCAUCUAAUUGUUGUUUAGUAUUAACAUUAUUGGAUAGUAGUAUUACUAUAUUGUUAAAUUUUACUUAAAUGGACAAAAUUGACUUUACCAUUUAAAUGUCUGCUUUAAUUUUUAAAAAUUCUAAACAUAAUAAAAAUUAAGUCCAUCUGGUGAAAUGUAAAAUGUUAACAUAAGACUUUCCUAUAAGUAUGAAUGAAAUAUUAAGUGAAGUUUUUUAGGUCAAUAAACAAUACAUAGUACAAAUUCAAUUUUGGUCAGUCUGGAACUUACCAAAAGAAUACUAGCACCAGUAUGUAUAAGAAAGAAUAAUCCUUAAUUAAUCUGUAUUUUUUCUAGUAUACCAUCCAUCCAUAAUACCUUGGGGAAAAAGUAUUCUCAAUAAAAUUAAAGCAGUAAUAAUUUCACACUCCCAAAAUACAUAAAUUUGUUGAAGCAAUCUGUCAGUUUCAAAAAUACAGGCAUUCACACCCACAAAAAUGACUUUUUUUAAGAGUAUAUGGGAAUUAUGCUUCACAUGAGUAAAACAGGGUUAGGUUAGCCCCAGUGUUUCAUUUUUAUAUGUAAGGCACGAAUAUCAGUCUAAAUUGACAGAGGGCAAUCUUCAAAUGUGUUAUGAGAGCCAGUGUCCCCUCUCCCUAGACCACUUGCAUCACACAUCAAUUUGAGCAUAUUUUAGGUAAGCAAAUUAUUAUUAAAUCUACAUUAAAUACUUUUUGGAACAAGGGAUGGUAUAAACAAACCUCUAUGUAAAAUUAAUUGUUUUGAUGCUAUAACGGUGAAAUAUUUGUGUGUUUUAAAAUCUCCAUAUAAGAAAACAUACAUGGAGAUACUGUUAAGCCAAAUGCAUGCACACAUACUGAGCACUGUCUGAGACAUUUGCAUUAGUUUUCUGAUGUACAACUUUACAACACUUCACAUGGUCGAAAUGUACUUUGAAAAAUAAAAGACCCAUUGUACCAGUAAGGGAAAUUGUAAACAGCUUUUUACUGCACUUCUAAUGCUAUUAAAAUAUAGAAUGUGUGGUCUCUUCUCUCUUCUACUAGUACUUUAGCAAUGUCAACUGGAAGUGCAUCCAUGAUCACUUUAUCCAGCUGUCUCUCUCUCACUCCCAGCAAACUCUUAGAUAUACUUGAUAAAUAUUUUCAUCUAAUUUGGUUCAUCUGUUGUUUUUAUUAACAACUAAUUUAAUAUCCUCUGUUCUGCAAUAUUUGCAAAAGUCAGUCUAUAGACGUGAAGCCAACAGGGACCCUCAGGCCUGUGCAUCAGGAUGGUGGGCUGCCUAAGUCCUCUGGGGACAGCAGUGCCAGAAGGAGUAUUGGACACAGUGACCCGACUGUAUGAGAUGAGAAAAAACAAAAACAGGAGGUCCGCAGUACUGAUGAACUAAUCUGUCACUCACAAGCUCAGGUCUGCAAAAAAAAGAAACGAAGCACUAAACAUGGCCAUAAGAGAUGGAAAUGCAAGUCUUCAUUUCUAAAUGAUAAUCAAACCAACGAUCAGAAACUGAUUAACUGUGUAAUUGAAUUGAAUUGAAAAUCAUCCCAUGAAUAACAAUCCAUCCUACCUUCAAGGGGUUAGGAAGCUAACUACAGGUAAUUGCUAUCAGAAAUCUGAUUUGAUUUCCAAAAAUUGUGUGAAUGAACCAAGUUUCUUCAUCUUGAUAUACUAGGCAGGGAGUUUGUUCUUCCAAGUACUAGACUGCUUAAUUGCUUGCUUGGGGGAGGAGAAAUCCUAGGGGAAAGGCAUAUAUGAGCAAUUUCUACUCUGUGAAGCCAGCGCUGUGUCCUGAGCUGGAUCAUGGCCAGAAACAGAAAAGUCUACUCUUCCCUACAGUGGAAGCAACUGUGGAUAUUUCAUCCUAGGAGUGAAUGAAAAAACCUAAAGCUCAUACUUCAUGGGAAUCUUUCAAUAUUCUGACUGAAAACUGGUUAUUUGCUCCUCCAACCCAAAGCCAUCUAGGAACAGCACUCAGAACAGGAAAAAAAAAAGACAAAAAUAAUAAUUAUUCCAAAACGUAUUUGAGCAGAAACAAACACAAACAUUUGCAUUAUUAAAUGGGCUUGUUCACACCUGCUGAGUAGAUAUAAGACGAUAUUUAAGACAAGAGCUAAAAAAUAAACCAUCCCUUUCUGGUUUUGAGUGACAGCAGAGCAAUAAAAAUUAUUUUCACAUUCUUUUCCCUAUUGUUAGAAGUAAUCAUUUGAGUAAAUACACUUAUCUGUGCUGUAACUAUUGAAAUGAAUCCACUUCAAAUAUGUAUACCACCUUUCUUUUUUAUAUUUCUAGAUAUGGUUUCAAUAUAGACUUUCUGACUUUUAUGGUAUACAUAUAGGACAAUAUUCUAUUCUUCUUUCCUUUUAAAUACUUACUGUUUCAAUUUCAAAUAAAAAAUCAGCAUUCUAGUUUGUACAUUUUAGCACAGAAAUGUUUACAACCUUCAGCACAAUUGCUUUUGUAAUUUACUGACUUGGCAUUUUGAGGCGUUUUUAACAAAUUAUGAGAAAUAACACCUUCAGAAAGCAUGUGACUACUUUGAUGCAACUAUUUACAAUGUAUUCAUAAGAAGUCAUUAACCUGUAGAGUUCUUAGACAUGUGGAACCUUUAACAAUUAUACUAAAGAGUACAUACAAAAUACAGAGCUAUGUAAUAAUAACUAAUUUUAAAUCCUGACAAAUUAGAAGUUAAGCCUACUAUCUGUAAAAAUAUGUCCUGAUUCAUUUUUUUAAGUAUAUACCUGAGCCUUUAAAAAGUAUAUGCCUUUACAAUUGAUUUCCAAUAAACAAUACUGAAUAACAAACU